rnacentral:rRNA from 1 species
AUACGAAGGGUGCAAGCGUUAAUCGGAAUUACUGGGCGUAAAGCGCGCGUAGGUGGUUCGUUAAGUUGGAUGUGAAAGCCCCGGGCUCAACCUGGGAACUGCAUCCAAAACUGGCGAGCUAGAGUAUAGCAGAGGGUGGUGGAAUUUCCUGUGUAGCGGUGACAUGCUUAGAUCUAGGAAGGAACACCAGUGGCGAAAGCGACCUGCUGGGCAUAUACUGAACCUGAGGUUCGAAAGCAUGGGGAGCAAACAGGUUUAGAGACCCUGGUAGUCCACUCCGUAAACGAUGUCGACUAGCCGUUGGGAUCCUUGAGAUCUUAGUGGCGCAGCUAACGCAUUAAGUCGACCGCCUGGGGAGUACGGCCGCAAGGUUAAAACUCAAAUGAAUUGACGGGG